rnacentral:rRNA from 1 species
GACGAACGCUGGCGGCGUGCUUAACACAUGCAAGUCGAACGGAAAGGCCCUGCUUUUGUGGGGUGCCCGAGUGGCGAACGGGUGAGUAACACGUGAGUAACCUGCCCUUCACUUUGGGAUAACUUAAGGAAACUGGGGCUAAUACCGGAUCGGAGCUCCUGUUGCAUGGAGGGGGUUGGAAAGUUUCGGCGGUUGGGGAUGGACUCGCGGCUUAUCAGCUUGUUGGGGGGGUAGUGGCUUACCAAGGCUUUGGCGGGUAGCCGGCCUGAGAGGGUGACCGGCCACAUUGGGACUGAGAUACGGCCCAGACUCCUACGGGAGGCAGCAGUGGGGAAUAUUGCACAAUGGGCGGAAGCCUGAUGCAGCAACGCCGCGUGCGGGAUGACGGCCUUCGGGUUGUAAACCGCUUUCGCCUGUGACGAAGCGUGAGUGACGGUAAUGGGUAAAGAAGCACCGGCUAACUACGUGCCAGCAGCCGCGGUAA